UUUUGAUUUGAGCAUAGUUGAUUUUGUGUGCAAUAUGAUCUUUGACAGUGUGCAAAGAGUGUAUCAUUUUGUCAUUUUUUAUGCAUUUCAGUUUAGAGAGAUAGAAUCAAAACAUUCUAGCACAUUUAGUGUUGCCAUGUGGUACAAUCCAUUAGUAGUGUUGCCAUGUGGUACAAGCCAGAAGUAGUGGUGUUGCCAUGUGGUACACUGAAAAAUUGCCAUAGCAGGUGCGUCACCAAAGUUUUCGAGUCACUUCUUUUGUGCUACUAGGUUGCCGAUGCGAUGUUUUAUGGAUUUUAAACCGGGUGGAUCGCUGUGUCGUAUUCUGGCCACGAUGUACCGUUACAAGGCUGAACAGCGCUGGCGGAAAUUCGAUUUCACGGUAAACAAGAACCCUAUGCGUAAGGACCCCAUUAUACAGAUGCUUGACAUGAAGACGGCUCUAAUCGAAACUGAAUGCAUGCGGCUACCGAUCGUUUACGUUAGGCACGAAGUGGACAAGGCUACUGCUAAUCGAAUA